rnacentral:misc_RNA from 1 species
UGGAAUUUGACCACUAAAAUUGUUUGAUGAGAGAGAUAACUGACUAAGUUGCCUUAAAUUACAAAACAAUGUUACAUUUGAACCAGAAAAAUUGCAAGCUUGAAGAUCCAGCAUUCUCACAGACCUUAGAUUAUUGAUAAGAUCACCUUCUAAAUGUAUUGCAAUUUUUGUAUGAGAAAGAGACAGUCUCUCGAGGGAACAACUCCAAUUGGACCUUGGCAAACAACCAAUGAGGUCAUAAUUUCCCCAUAAAUCGAGCACACGAAGGUUUGGCCUUUGAAGCAAGUUGGCUGGGAAUUCCCCUCGCAAUCCACA